AUGAGUGUUUGCUAUAAAGGAGUAGACCACACAAGGGAGAGAGGGGUCAAAAGGCAACCCAAGAUCAACUGCCUUAAACUUGACUGUAAACCUAUGUUAAGCAUCGUUGCUAAUUUCACAAAGUGGAGCUUCACCCAGAAUUCCUUCAUUUCUCUUCCUGCUUCCUAUCAGAAGCAAGGGAUUACUUCUAAAUCAUCCAUCAUCUCAUUUUGCUUUGGAAAGCUAUGAGAGAAAUUAAGCAGCCAAAGAUUUCCAGUUGUUAUAUAUCUGCAAAAUUAUCCUUAUCACAACAUUUUCUACCAUGUGGGUAAGAAGAAAAAAAUGGAAAAAAGUAAAAGGAAGACAAUAUUAAAGAAAAUAUAAAAAUAGAAAAUUUUAGAGAGAAUGAAAUUAAAAAAAAAUACCACAUCACACCCAAAGUUGGGAAAUAGGUGGAGAAAUGAAAAGUAAUAGAAAAAAGGAGACCAAAUGAAAGAGAAAGACCAACCUAUGGAAUAAAGCACAGAGAAAGUUGUAGAAAAGGAGAAAGAAUUGCCUAACAAAUAAUUAAAGCAUAAUCCCUGAAAUAGAAGUGAGGAAUAUUGGAAUGGAGAAGAUAUGUUAGUGGAAGAAAUAAAAACAUUUCUACUUGCCUCAAAAAUAUAUCAUGUGUGGUGUUAGCCCCUAAGCAAAGUAACAUAUAUUCACAUGAUAGUCAACAUCUUUUCUUUAAUGAGACAAUCUUAUAAAUUGAAAUCAUCUGACUUUCCUCCAAGAAUGUGGAUUUGACACUCUUAUUAUUUUGAAUAAUAGUUUCUUUUUGGCUGGGUAAUUAGUUAAGCAUACUUUUUUCAUUCUUUUAAAAUAAAAAAAGUAUUAAUAUGUUUUGUUUUUAUAUAAUCUUCAUUUUUGAAUAUAUUCUUCCUCUUCCUCUAUCCAAUAAACAAUUAUUUUAAAGAAAAAAGAAAAUUGUUAGAAAAACUAACAACAUAUCAGUUGAGUCUGAUAAUAUAUGCAAAUCUCCACACUUACAGUUUCCCACCCCUUCAGAGAGGGAAAGGAGAUAUUCUCAUUUUUGUGGAUAAACAUAGUUAAUAGAUUUAUACUACAUUCAGUUUUUUUUUUUUCAUUAUUCUUCUUCCCUCUUCUAUUGUUUCCAUAGUGUGUAUUGUUUUCUUGGCUCCUUUGUGAAAUGUUGCUAUUAUUGAAAAGUGAUUAUUAGAAUGUGAACUCCCUGGGAACAGAGAUUGUCCUACUUUCACAUUUUUAACCCCACUUUAGUCCAAGUCUUUACUUACUUACUUACUUUACUUCAUUUAUUUACUUUAGUCUACAAGUGUUUAAUAAAUGUUGUCCCCUUCAAUUCCAUUCAACUUACUUCUCUCCCAUCAAUUUAUAUAGCAUCAUAGGAUUUUAUUUCCAUAGCUAUGGAAGGAACCUUAAAGGCCAUCUAAUCUAACUCUUUUAUUUUAUACAUAAGGAACCUGAGGACCUGGGAAGUGCUUUGUCUAUAGUCACAGACUCAGAUCCUGUGUUGUUCUUCUCAUAAGCUUACAUUUUCAGUAGCAUUUAAUUAUUCAUUACUUUACUUAUAUUUUACUUAGCCACUAAUUUAUAAAAGUUCAAGACAAAUUACUGGAAAACUACUAGCAGUGGAUAGCACAAAACAAAAUUUCUGAAUUCCUUUGUCAAAACAAAUCUUAAUUUUCAAAUAGUUAAAUAAAAACAAAAACAAAACCAAGCAUGUAAUAGGAGCAAGGAAGAAAAAUAACAAAGAUUUUCCUUGUCCCUCUUCCCAAAAAAUAAAGCAACAAUAAAAUUUUUAAAUAGAAAUGUUAUAUUGGAAGUCACUCAAAAUUGGAUUCUGGCUAGCUAGUCAGCUAGAAUAUUCCAAUUAAGCAAGCAUUCAGUAGGUGUCUACUAUGUGCAAAUUACUAUACUAGGUCUUGGGAAUAACAGAGAUGAAAAAUGGCUAGAAGGAAUUUAUAAUCUAAUAAGAAGGUUCUUUGAGGGAACAAAGACAAAAAUGAAACAGUUCUUAUCUUCAAGGAGCUUACAUUCUACUGAGGGGAUAUGAUACAAUAUGAAUAUAUAAUGUAUAAAUAAGCAUGUAUAGUCAAUCAAUAAGAAUUAAUUGAAUUCAGUGUGCUAGGUAUUGUACAGUACUGGUUAGGGUAGAGAAUCAGAGAAGGCUUCAUAGAAGAGGAAGAUUCCUUAAUUAAUUAUUCAAAGAAGUUAAGAGAUUCUAAAAGAUGGAGGUAAGGAGGUAUUGCAGUCAAGAGAUCCAACACAUGCACAGAGGCAUAAAGCUUAAGAUUAGAUUCAAAGAAGAAUUAAUAGUCCCAUUUGACUGGAGUAUAGAAUUCAUAGAGAACAUGAAUAUGGAGUAAAUCCAUUCUCCACUUGAAUGUUAAAUUAAUUUUUCUAAAAUGUAAGUCUGACAUACCACUUCAAUCAAUUCCACUGGCUCCUUAUUGUUUCCAAAAUUAUUUACAAUCCUGUUUGUCUUUUUUAGAUUUACAUAACCAGGUGCUUUUUCUACCAUUCCAUUUUUAUACCUUCUUCCUUCUAAGUACUCUUUGAUUCAGAGACACAUACCAAAAUGUGGAGGGCCUUAUAUUUUAUGAGAAGCUUAUAUUUAUUUUACAAUCAUUAAGAAGUCCCUGAAGGAUUUUGAGUAAGAGAAGUUCCUAAUCAGACCUACAUCUUAGAUUAUUUUUUCAGUUUUAUGGAGGAUUGCAGUGGGGAGAGACUAAAAGAUAAAUCAUUAGGAUAUUAUUAUAAUAAUCUAGGUCAGAGGUGAUGAAGGCCUGAAUUAGAGUACUUACUAUGUGAUUGAAGAAAAGAGGAAGUAUUUUAAACAAAUUAAGAUUCUUAGGUUGAGAAUUUAGAUAAGAGAAGAAGAAAGAAAAAAGGAAAGGAGAAGGAGGAGGAAGAGCAAAAUGAAAAUAAGAAGUGGCAGUAGGAGGAGGAGGAAGAAGAGUUGAUGUUUUUCUUCUUCUUACUUGAUGGGGUAUUAAAGGAUAGGAUAAUGGGAGGAUGAUAAACUCUAUUUUGAACAUGUUGCCAAUGGGAUAUCCAAGAAAAAAAUGUCCAAAAAUCUCCAAAACUCGAGUUUUGUAGGUGGAUAUAUUUAGUUGGAAGUUAUCUCUGUAGAACUGAAAACUGACCCUCAGAACUAAAUAAGCAUAAAGCCAAAUAGGAAGAAGGAAAGGAAGAAAGCAAUAUUUUACUAAGUGUUUCCUAUGUAAAGAUGAUGACGAAUGUUGGAGGGGAUAUGAAAACUGGGAUCCUGAUACGUUGGUGGAACUGUGAAUGGAUCCAGCCAUUCCAGAGAGCCAUUUGGAACUAUGCCCAAAAAGUUAUCAAACUGUACAUACCCUUUGACCCAGUAGAUUAUAUCCCAAAAAUAUUUUAAAGGAGGGAA
ensembl:lncRNA